UACGAAGGGGGCUAGCGUUGCUCGGAAUUACUGGGCGUAAAGCGUGCGCAGGCGGGCUUUUAAGCCAGACGUGAAAUCCCCGGGCUUAACCUGGGAAUGGCGUUUGGGACUGGAAGUCUGGAGUACGGCAGAGGAGACUGGAAUUCCUGGUGUAGCAGUGAAAUGCGUAGAUAUCAGGAGGAACACCGAUGGCGAAGGCAGGUCUCUGGGCUGAUACUGACGCUCAUGCACGAAAGCGUGGGGAGCAAACAGG
rnacentral:rRNA from 1 species